rnacentral:rRNA from 1 species
UGAGACCGGCGCACGGGUGCGUAACGCGUAUGCAAUCUACCUUUUACAGAGGGAUAGCCCAGAGAAAUUUGGAUUAAUACCUCAUAGUAUAGUGAGUUGGCAUCAACACACUAUUAAAGUCACAACGGUAAAAGAUGAGCAUGCGUCCCAUUAGCUAGUUGGUAAGGUAACGGCUUACCAAGGCAACGAUGGGUAGGGGUCCUGAGAGGGAGAUCCCCCACACUGGUACUGAGACACGGACCAGACUCCUACGGGAGGCAGCAGUGAGGAAUAUUGGUCAAUGGGCGCAAGCCUGAACCAGCCAUGCCGCGUGCAGGAUGACGGUCCUAUGGAUUGUAAACUGCUUUUGCACAGGAAGAAACACUACCUCGUGAGGUAGCUUGACGGUACUGUGAGAAUAAGGAUCGGCUAACUCCGUGCCAGCAGCCGCGGUAAUACGGAGGAUCCAAGCGUUAUCCGGAAUCAUUGGGUUUAAAGGGUCCGUAGGCGGCCAGAUAAGUCAGUGGUGAAAGCCCAUCGCUCAACGAUGGAACGGCCAUUGAUACUGUUUGGCUUGAAUUAUUUGGAAGUAACUAGAAUAUGUAGUGUAGCGGUGAAAUGCUUAGAGAUUACAUGGAAUACCAAUUGCGAAGGCAGGUUACUACAAAUUGAUUGACGCUGAUGGACGAAAGCGUGGGUAGCGAACAGGAUUAGAUACCCUGGUAGUCCACGCCGUAAACGAUGGAUACUAGCUGUUGGGAGCAAUCUCAGUGGCUA